rnacentral:rRNA from 1 species
GUUUUUAUAGAGUUUGGGGACCUGCUCAGGACGAACGCUGGCGGCGUGCCUAAUACAUGCAAGUCGAGCGGACAGAUGGGAGCUUGCUCCCUGAUGUUAGCGGCGGACGGGUGAGUAACACGUGGGUAACCUGCCUGUAAGACUGGGAUAACUCCGGGAAACCGGGGCUAAUACCGGAUGGUUGUCUGAACCGCAUGGUUCAGACAUAAAAGGUGGCUUCGGCUACCACUUACAGAUGGACCCGCGGCGCAUUAGCUAGUUGGUGAGGUAACGGCUCACCAAGGCGACGAUGCGUAGCCGACCUGAGAGGGUGAUCGGCCACACUGGGACUGAGACACGGCCCAGACUCCUACGGGAGGCAGCAGUAGGGAAUCUUCCGCAAUGGACGAAAGUCUGACGGAGCAACGCCGCGUGAGUGAUGAAGGUUUUCGGAUCGUAAAGCUCUGUUGUUAGGGAAGAACAAGUGCCGUUCAAAUAGGGCGGCACCUUGACGGUACCUAACCAGAAAGCCACGGCUAACUACGUGCCAGCAGCCGCGGUAAUACGUAGGUGGCAAGCGUUGUCCGGAAUUAUUGGGCGUAAAGGGCUCGCAGGCGGUUUCUUAAGUCUGAUGUGAAAGCCCCCGGCUCAACCGGGGAGGGUCAUUGGAAACUGGGGAACUUGAGUGCAGAAGAGGAGAGUGGAAUUCCACGUGUAGCGGUGAAAUGCGUAGAGAUGUGGAGGAACACCAGUGGCGAAGGCGACUCUCUGGUCUGUAACUGACGCUGAGGAGCGAAAGCGUGGGGAGCGAACAGGAUUAGAUACCCUGGUAGUCCACGCCGUAAACGAUGAGUGCUAAGUGUUAGGGGGUUUCCGCCCCUUAGUGCUGCAGCUAACGCAUUAAGCACUCCGCCCUGGGAGACCGGCCGG